rnacentral:rRNA from 1 species
GGCCUACGGGGGGCUGCAGUGGGGAAUAUUGGACAAUGGGCGCAAGCCUGAUCCAGCCAUGCCGCGUGGGUGAAGAAGGCCUUCGGGUUGUAAAGCCCUUUUGUUGGGAAAGAAAACUUUCCGGUUAAUACCCGGAGAGAAUGACGGUACCCAAAGAAUAAGCACCGGCUAACUUCGUGCCAGCAGCCGCGGUAAUACGAAGGGUGCAAGCGUUACUUGGAAUUACUGGGCGUAAAGCGUGCGUAGGUGGUUCGUUAAGUCUGAUGGGAAAGCCCUGGGCUCAACCUGGGAAUUGCAUUGGAUACUGGCGGGCUAGAGGGCGGUAGAGGGUAGUGGAAUUCCUGGUGUAGCAGUGAAAUGCGUAGAGAUCAGGAGGAACAUCCGUGGCGAAGGCGACUGCCUGGACCAGCACUGACACUGAGGCACGAAAGCGUGGGGAGCAAACAGGAUUAGAUACCCGAGUAGUCGA